rnacentral:rRNA from 1 species
CCUACGGGGGGCUGCAGUGGGGAAUAUUGGACAAUGGGGGCAACCCUGAUCCAGCCAUGCCGCGUGUGUGAAGAAGGCCCUCGGGUUGUAAAGCACUUUCAGUGAGGAAGAACGCCUGGUGGUUAAUACCCAUCAGGAAAGACAUCACUCACAGAAGAAGCACCGGCUAACUCCGUGCCAGCAGCCGCGGUAAUACGGAGGGUGCGAGCGUUAAUCGGAAUUACUGGGCGUAAAGCGCGCGUAGGUGGCUUGAUAAGCCGGUUGUGAAAGCCCCGGGCUCAACCUGGGAACGGCAUCCGGAACUGUCAAGCUAGAGUGCAGGAGAGGAAGGUAGAAUUCCCGGUGUAGCGGUGAAGUGCGUAGAGAUCGGGAGGAAUACCAGUGGCGAAGGCGGCCUUCUGGACUGACACUGACACUGAGGUGCGAAAGCGUGGGUAGCAAACAGGAGUAGAUACCCUGGUAGUC